rnacentral:rRNA from 1 species
GUAGGGAAUCUUCCACAAUGGACGAAAGUCUGAUGGAGCAACGCCGCGUGAGUGAAGAAGGUUUUCGGAUCGUAAAGCUCUGUUGUUGGUGAAGAAGGAUAGAGGCAGUAACUGGUCUUUAUUUGACGGUAAUCAACCAGAAAGUCACGGCUAACUACGUGCCAGCAGCCGCGGUAAUACGUAGGUGGCAAGCGUUGUCCGGAUUUAUUGGGCGUAAAGCGAGCGCAGGCGGAAUGAUAAGUCUGAUGUGAAAGCCCACGGCUCAACCGUGGAACUGCAUCGGAAACUGUCAUUCUUGAGUGCAGAAGAGGAGAGUGGAACUCCAUGUGUAGCGGUGGAAUGCGUAGAUAUAUGGAAGAACACCAGUGGCGAAGGCGGCUCUCUGGUCUGCAACUGACGCUGAGGCUCGAAAGCAUGGGCAGCGAACAGGAUUAGAUACCCUGGUAGUCCAUGCCGUAAAACGAUGAGCGCUAGGUGUUGGGGACUUUCCGGUGCCUCAGUGCCGCAGCAAACGCAUUAAGCGCUCCGCCUGGGGAGUACGACCGCAAGGUUGAAAC